GACGAACGCUGGCGGCGUGCUUAACACAUGCAAGUCGAGCGGUAAGGCCUCUUCGGGGGUACACGAGCGGCGAACGGGUGAGUAACACGUGGGUGACCUGCCCUCAGCUCUGGGAUAAGCCUGGGAAACUGGGUCUAAUACCGGAUAUGACCUUUCCUCGCAUGGGGUUUGGUGGAAAGUUUUUUCGGCUGGGGAUGGGCCCGCGGCCCAUCAGCUUGUUGGUGGGGUGAUGGCCUACCAAGGCGACGACGGGUAGCCGGCCUGAGAGGGCGACCGGCCACACUGGGACUGAGACACGGCCCAGACUCCUACGGGAGGCAGCAGUGGGGAAUAUUGCGCAAUGGGCGGAAGCCUGACGCAGCGACGCCGCGUGGAGGAUGACGGCCUUCGGGUUGUAAACCUCUUUCGACCCCGACGAAUUUGGACGGUAGGGGUAGAAGAAGCACCGGCCAACUACGUG
rnacentral:rRNA from 1 species